rnacentral:misc_RNA from 1 species
GAGAUAAGCUUCACAUAUUGAUCCCUCCACACAGGCUUUAUUUUUUACCUUCUUCUUAAGAUCGUAUAGUAUCCUAUAUUAAGAUAGUUUUAGUUAAAAUCUUAUACAAGUAAAUUAAUUAUUUCGUCAAAUAGGAUAUUUUAGCAACUAACCGCUCAAAAGGAUACAUCCAACAAAACUGAAUUGGACCACCAGCUUUUGCUUCAUAUGG